rnacentral:lncRNA from 1 species
CUGCGAGUCCCACCAGGCAAGCAUGGCCUCUUAGAUGCCUGUUCUAAUCUCCUCCCCGGAAGCUCCGGAACUGCUCUCCUUCCCUUGCUGAGCCUAGUUUCAGGGGUCCAAUGUCUGGCUUUCUACCAUGCUGGAGACUUGGCCACGAGCUCUGCAUCCUAAGCCUCCACCAGCCACUCCCACCUGUGCCUACUGCCCUCACCCUGGAGCCCUGUCUUAUUUCCUGGUAUUAACCAUACAAGAACAGGGAGCAAUCUGUUGGUUUUCUUCCUAGAAUACUACUCUCUCCCUCUCUCCAUCUGGUUCCUCUGGUUGCCAGGAUACAGCCUUGUCUUUGACAGCACAUCGGUGCGAAGAAAUGGACCUACAAGUCUUUUACCUGUUAUAUUACUUCUUAGUAAGCAAUAAUAUAGCUGCUUAUCUGAUGAAUGUCAUGCGUACCAGUGUAUUUAGCGCACUUAAUAAUCCUUUGAAGUAUGUGCUACUACAACUGUUCCCUUUAUGAGUGAGUAAAAUGAGACUCAGAGUGUUCCAACAAGAACACCUGAAGCAGACUUCCGACCUCUUGAAAUUUAUUUAAGAGGCCAGACAACAAAAAGCAGAGAAACACUACCAGCUGAGAGCCUUACCAGGUUCAAGGUGGAAGGCGAGAACCACAGCCCACACUCCUCUUAGGUGUGCACAGCAGCUGUCAUGAUGCACCGGAGUCAGACCCAAUGGUGAACACCUGGAAGACGAGUUUUACACCUUUACUUAGUGCCUAGCAUAGUGUAAGUGUCCAAGAAAUAAUUUUGAAGUGAAUGAGUGUGCCCAGAGAAUGCUUUAAGAAUGGAUCCGUGGAAGGUUAAAUAUCAAGUUACUGUUGAAAGGACCCAUUCCAACUGCAAUAAUCUGCAUGAUGGAUAAAGAAGUGCGCAAAUUUAACAAGGUACCAUGAGUUACUGGACUCCAGUGGCCUCAGGAUAAGCUCCAAGGCUUGGCUCUGCUGAAAAAUGUUUGUGUUGAGG